GUACCUGUGCAGAUUGCCUGUACCUCACCUUGAUGUUGGGCUUCCAAACCCUGCUGGUGUCCCUCAAUGUAUGCUACUGCAGCUCAAGGUGGUGGCGGCAAUACUCAAGGGCAAUUACUGGUCCUUAUAUCCUGGCCUGAACUGAAGGUGAGGAUUAGAAUUUCAGCUAUCACCAUAGGAGGUUGCCACAUUCUACGAGAUCAUUAAUUCUCCCUGGCCUUGGGUAAAACAAAGGGGCUGAAUGCACAAAAUCAUCUCCAAACUUGGACUUCCAGGUUUCAACUAGAGACACAUGGGUAGCUGAGCCCUGUUCUGGUGGUUUUAUGAGUCAAACAAUUUCAAUGAAAUUCAAGCAAUGGAGAGAAGGAUGCUUGAGAAAACGCUUUUGAGUGGCGAAGGCAUUUGUACAAAUGUUUUACUUUCUCACUUCGAUUCAAAAAGUGGUAUGCAACUCGAAUAUGUGGAUUUGUGGCAAGAACAGCACGGGCAACAGCAAGAAAGAGAACAAUGGCUUGUGAAAAGAAGAAAAGAGCCCUUCCAAUGUAUUUUGUUCACUGUGACGAAAAGCUAACACAUCAGGAUCAAGACGAUAAAACCAAGGCUCCACUUCUUCAAGCAGGAGUGGCAAGGCUCUGGAAGACAACGUCGAACUGAAUUUGACUUGGUCUAUCUGCCACAGAAGCAAUUUUAAUAGGUACUAAGAUUCAAGUGUACAGAGGGGCUAGGCAGAAAAAUACAAAAAGGGAAGUGGAUUUUUAUUUACUCAUGAAAAAAAUUACAGGAUUUUUUUCCCCAGGGAAAUUGUCUUUCUUACUCUCUCCAUCUUCCUUCUCUCUAUUUAUACAGACUCAAUCCUGCAUAACUUCUGUUCUCUCGCUUUUGACACUGACAUGAGUGGAAACAGAAACUUUCCUCUACUGUAAAAAAAGCAAUAGUGAGACCCCAAUAAAGGAUGGUGGCUGACACUUGUCUCCCACGUCAGGGAUACAAACUAGAGAGCCUGUGUCCUGGCCAGAGUUCAGCUAUGACUCAGCUCCAUCCAGUUGUUGCCAGGGAAGAGCAUGGAUCCAAUAGGGCCAGAUCUGAUUGUUCAAGGAAUGUCAAAUACUGAGGUUUUUACAUGGACUCUUGACUUAUUACUUUAGUUCAAAUUAAAAUCAAUCAGUAUCCCGAAAGCCCAAUGAAUCAGCACAAUGGCCUGAAUUUGCCCGAUGGGCCACUAUUUUGCCCCUUCAAUUUGGCUGCCAGGUGCAAAUUAUACAGAGGAGUAAAAGAGAAGGCACAGGAUGCAAAACUUAACCGCAACUUGAGGUCUUUGUUGGAGGAUCUAUACCAGCCGUCUUGCAUAUUCGUGUGGCGAGGUCUCAGGAACGUUAGGCAGGAAUACUACUGCACCUAUCAUGGGCAGAAAGUUCACCUGCAGCAGAGAGCCCCCAGGCAAAUUGCUAAAUUACAGGUGGUCCCCUAAUCUGAAGUGUGACAAUGAAGAUGACACUCACUCCAAGGUGAUUUUUCUUGGAAUCAUCUUAGAGUCACCAUGAAGGUUACAUCAGCUAACACAUGAUCAUUUCAUAGAAGACACUCGACUGCCAUCCGGGACUCUCAUUGCUCUGAUGAAGGCUCUCAGCACAGCAUGCUCCUGUCUCCUGGGGCUGGCCACUCCCUGGUGGAAGAGACUUCCAGACCAUUAGAAGGCUGUUUCUUUGCGUGAAUAAGCAUCAUAUUCCCAUUGCUUCCGUGGACCUGUCCUAAAUCAGCUUCCUGGGGUUACGAUGUACAAGACUAGUUCUGACUAGCUGGUCAUCCUAGCCACCCCAAUUUUCAUCUGUGUGACUCAACGUCUGGGGUGAAUUUGAGUUUCUGUAUAUGCCUUAGCUUGUCCUUUUCUUAAAUGAGUAAGCCAGGUGUACACCCUUGUUUUUGUGGCCUGUCCUUUGACACAAUCAUGUUCAGCCCAUAAUAGGUUUGUGACCUCUAUAUUGUCACCAUGAAUUUUGACCUUUGUCAGUGUUAAUUGCUUUUGUGUCUCCAAUUUUACUUUGUUGUGUAUUAAUAUCGCUGCUCUAAGAGCUGAGUGGAUUUGCCUGA